AACGAACGCUGGCGGCAUGCCUAACACAUGCAAGUCGAACGAGACCUUCGGGUCUAGUGGCUCACGGGUGCGUAACGCGUGGGAACCUGCCCUUAGGUUCGGAAUAACUCCCCGAAAGGGGUGCUAAUACCGGAUAAUGUCUGCGGACCAAAGAUUUUUCGCCUUUGGAUGGGCCCGCGUUGUAUUAGCUAGUUGGUAGGGUAAAAGCCUACCAAGGCGACGAUCCAUAGCUGGUCUGAGAGGAUGAUCAACCACACUGAGACUGGGACACGGCCCAGAAUCCUGCGGAAGGCAGCAAUGGGAAAUAUUGGACAAUGGGCGGAAGCCAGAUCCAGCAAUGCCGCGUGAGUGAUGAAGGCCUUAGGGUUGUAAAGCUCUUUUACCCGGGAUGAUAAUGACAGUACCGAGAGAAUAAGCUCCGGCUAACUCCGUG
rnacentral:rRNA from 1 species